rnacentral:rRNA from 1 species
AUUGAACGCUGGCGGCAGGCCUAACACAUGCAAGUCGAACGAGUGGCGGACGGGUGAGUAAUGUCUGGGAAACUGCCCGAUGGAGGGGGAUAACUACUGGAAACGGUAGCUAAUACCGCAUACCAUCGGAUGUACCCAUAUGGGAUUAGCUAGUAGGUGGGGUAACGGCUCACCUAGGCGACGAUCACUAGCUGGUCUGAGAGGAUGACCAGCAAAACUGGGACUGAGACACGGUCCAGACUCCUACGGGAGGCAGCAGUGGGGAAUAUUGCACAAUGGGCGCAAGCAGGAUGCAGCAAUGCCGCGUGUAUGAAGAAGGCCUUAGGGUGGUAAAGUACUUUCAGCGAGGAGGCGUUACUCGCAGAAGAAGCACCGGCUAACUCCGUGCCAGCAGCCGCGGUAAUUC